UCUCUCUCUCUCUCUCUCUCACACACACACACACACACACACACACACACACACACACACACACACACACACACACGCUGGAGAGGUAAAGAGAAGAAGGAGAUCUCGCCAGGCGUGGGAGGGCAGGCAUCUCACUGCUUCUGUUUGGGCUUUCUGACCGCUGUGUUGAGCUUGCGUACUCGGACUCCUGAGACAGUUUGGGCCUACUCUCCUGAGUGCCAUCCACAUUCCAUCAAGGUCUUGCUAACAUUGCUGUCUCAGUGUGGAACAAUGUUAAUAAAAGGUAGCCGGCAAACAUUAUUACCCAGAGUCAAAGCUGCCCUAGAGGAGAAGCCGUCCGCCAAGCGCCAAUGCUAGCAGAUGCACUUGUGUCCAGAGUCCAGCCUGGAGCUCCGCAGGCACCGCGCUGGCUCCCUGGCUCUUUCCCUCACUGUACUACCCCGGGCUCCGAGCGCAGCCUCUGCUCUGAAGAAAACUGGACUGCCAGAUAUUAAAGCACUGUGCCACUCUACAAUAAAUAGAACUCCACCAGUGGAGGAAGAAGCAAGCCCUUUCCCCAACUAAACAAGUCAGAGGACUGGUUUGUGAUCAUCAAGCCAAUUCAAACCAGCGAAGGAAGAAUUAAAAAGGUUGGGGACAAGCUAACCAUUGGAAAGCAAUGACGUUAUCUGUCUAAUUCCCACCACAUGCCAAAAUAAAUUUCUGAUGAUUAA